rnacentral:piRNA from 1 species
UACCUCACAGGAUGUUCUCUGGAUGGCAGU